rnacentral:lncRNA from 1 species
AUGGAAAAAGCAAGAGAGUUCCAGAAAAACAUCUAUUUCUGCUUUAUUGACUACGCCAAAGCCUUUGACUGUGUGGAUCACAAGAAACUGUGGAAAAUGCUGAAAGGGAUGGGAAUACCAGACCACCUGACCUGCCUCUUGAGAAAUCUGUAUGCAGGUCAGGAAGCAACAGUUAGAACUGGACAUGGAACAACAGACUGGUUCCAAAUAGGAAAAGGAGUACGUCAAGGCUGUAUAUUGUCACCCUGCUUAUUUAAGUUAUAUGCAGAGUACAUCAUGAGAAACGCUGGACUGGAAGAAACACAAGCCGGAAUCAAGAUUGCCGGGAGAAAUACCAGUAACCUCAGAUAUGCAGAUGACACCACCCUUAUGGCAGAAAGUGAAGAGGAGCUAAAAAGCCUCUUGAUGAAAGUGAAAGAGGAGAGCGAAAAAGUUGGCUUAAAGCUCAACAUUCAGAAAACGAAGAUCAUGGCAUCCAGUCCCAUCACUUCAUGGGAAAUAGAUGGGGAAACAGUGGAAACAGUGUCAGACUUUAUUUUGGGGGGCUCCAAAAUCACUGCAGAUGGUGACUGCAGCCAUGAAAUUAAAAGACGCUUACUCCCUGGAAGAAAAGUUAUGACCAACCUAGAUAGUAUAUUCAAAAGCAGAGAUAUUACUUUGCCAACUAAUGUCCAUCUAGUCAAGGCUAUGGUUUUUCCUGUGGUCAUGUAUGUUUGUGAGAGUUGGACUGUGAAGAAGGCUGAGCGCCAAAGAAUUGAUGCUUUUGAAGUGUGGUGUUGGAGAAGACUCUUGAGAGUCCCUUGGACUGCGAGGAGGUCCAACCAAUCCAUUCUGAAGGAGAUCAACCCUGGGAUUUUUUUGGAAGGAAUGAUGCUGAAGCUGAAGCUCCAGUACUUUGGCCACCUCAUGCGAAGGGUUGACUCAUUGGAAAAGACUCUGAUGCUGGGAGGGAUUGGGGGCAGGAGGAGAAGGGGACGACCGAGGAUGAGAUGGCUGGAUGGCAUCAUGGACUCGAUGGACGUGAGUCUGAGUGAACUCUGGGAGAUGGUGAUGGACAGGGAGGCUUGGCGUGCUGCGAUUCAUGGGGUCGCAAAGAGUCGGACACAACUGAGCGACUGA